AUUGAACGCUGGCGGAAUGCUUUACACAUGCAAGUCGAACGGUAGAGGGGGCAACCCCUCGAGAGUGGCGAACGGGUGAGUAAUAUAUCGGAACGUGCCCAGUCGUGGGGGAUAACGUAGCGAAAGUUACGCUAAUACCGCAUACGAUCUAAGGAUGAAAGCGGGGGAUCGCAAGACCUCGCGCGAUUGGAGCGGCCGAUAUCAGAUUAGGUAGUUGGUGGGGUGAAGGCUCACCAAGCCAACGAUCUGUAGCUGGUCUGAGAGGACGACCAGCCACACUGGCACUGAGACACGGUCCAGACUCCUACGGGAGGCAGCAGUGGGGAAUUUUGGACAAUGGACGCAAGUCUGAUCCAGCCAUUCCGCGUGCAGGAUGAAGGCCCUCGGGUUGUAAACUGCUUUUGUACGGAACGAAAAGGUCUCUCUUAAUACGGGGGGCUCAUGACGGUACCGUAAGAAUAAGCACCGGCUAACUACGUGCCAGCAGCCGCCGUAA
rnacentral:rRNA from 1 species